AUUUCUGUUCUCUAGCUCCUAAGGAUCGUAUUUUUAAGGCAACUCUCAAGGAACUUCCUUCUCUCAGGGGAGGAAGUGAGAAAGAGAGUCUCGACCGACAACAACCGCCGCUACCUCAUUAGCAAACAAUUAGCGUAAAUUUUGAAUCGAAAGAUACUCUGAAUAACAUUCAAAGUCUAGUCAAAUUUUACAGCCACAAAUAAUCACAAAUAAAGACACGACAAGUAGGAGAAUUCGGGCAGGAAUACAGCCCAAAACGUGUCGUAAACAAAUUCUAGUAUAAAUUAUAAAUAUAUCUUACCCUAGCACCCUUAGAUAUGUAUCUUCAAGCACUCACCAUCUGAAAGAAAAUCAAAGAAAGAAUCGGUUAAAAAAAU
rnacentral:lncRNA from 1 species